AAAUAACAAUGAUUUCCCUAGUAACGGCGAGUGAAGAGGAAAGAGCUCAAAGUUGGAAACUGUUUGGCUUAGCUAAACCGUAUUGUAAACUGUAGAAACAUUUUCCUGGCACGCCGGAUUAAUAAGUCCUUUGGAACAAGGCAUCAUGGAGGGUGAGAAUCCCGUCUUUGAUCCGAGUAGUUGUCUUUUGUGAUAUGUUUUCAAAGAGUCAGGUUGUUUGGGAAUGCAGCCUAAAUUGGGUGGUAAAUCUCACCUAAAGCUAAAUAUUUGCGAGAGACCGAUAGCGAACAAGUACCGUGAGGGAAAGAUGAAAAGAACUUUGAAAAGAGAGUUAAACAGUAUGUGAAAUUGUUAAAAGGGAACCGUUUGGAGCCAGACUGGUUUGACUGUAAUCAACCUAGAAUUCGUUCUGGGUGCACUUGCAGUCUAUACCUGCCAACAACAGUUUGAUUUGGAGGAAAAAAUUAGUAGGAAUGUAGCCUCUCGAGGUGUUAUAGCCUACUAUCAUACUCUGGAUUGGACUGAGGAACGCAGCGAAUGCCAUUAGGCGAGAUUGCUGGGUGCUUUCGCUAAUAAAUGUUAGAAUUUCUGCUUCGGGUGGUGCUAAUGUUUAAAGGAGGAACACAUCU
rnacentral:rRNA from 2 species